UCCGUCACCUGACCCUGCCAGAUCAGGAACCGCCGCAGUCCCGCUC
ensembl:misc_RNA